rnacentral:rRNA from 1 species
CGUGGCUAACCUGCCCUUGGGACGGAAGCACCCCCGGGAAACUGGGGCUAAUUUCCGAUAGGGGAAGGCUCCUGGAAUGGAUUUUCGCCUAAAAGGCGCUUAGGGCAUGCUUCUAGGCGUUGCCCAAGGAUGGGGCCGCGGCCGAUCAGGUUGUUGGUGAGGUAACGGCUCACCAAGCCUUUAACCGGUGCGGGCCGUGGGAGCGGGAGCCCGGAGAUGGGCACUGAGACAAGGGCCCAGGCCCUACGGGGCGCAGCAGUCGCGAAAACUUCGCAAUAAGCGAAAGCUUGACGGGGCUAUCCCGAGUGCCAUCCGCUGAGGAUGGCUUUUCCCUAGUAUAGAUAGCUGGGGGAAAAAGGAGAGGGCAAGUCUGGUGUCAGCCGCCGCGGUAAUACCAGCUCUCCGAGUGGUGGGGAUGAUUAUUGGGCCUAAAGCAUCCGUAGCCGGCUGGGCAAGUCCCCUGUUAAAUCCAGCGAUCUAAUCGUUGGCCUGCGGGGGAUACUGCUUGGCUAGGGGGCGAGAGAGGCCGACGGUAUUCUCGGGGUAGGGGUGAAAUCCUAUAAUCCCGGGAGGACCACCAGUGGCGAAGGCUGUCGGCUAGAACGCGCCCGACGGUGAGGGAUGAAAGCUGGGGGAGCGAACCGGAUUAGAUACCCGGGUAGUCCCAGCUGU